GACGAACGCUUGCGGCGUGCUUAACACAUGCAAGUCGAACGGAAAGGCCCUGCUUUUGUGGGGUGCUCGAGUGGCGAACGGGUGAGUAACACGUGAGUAACCUGCCCUUGACUUUGGGAUAACUUCAGGAAACUGGGGCUAAUACCGGAUAGGAGCUCCUGCUGCAUGGUGGGGGUUGGAAAGUUUCGGCGGUUGGGGAUGGACUCGCGGCUUAUCAGCUUGUUGGUGGGGUAGUGGCUUACCAAGGCUUUGACGGGUAGCCGGCCUGAGAGGGUGACCGGCCACAUUGGGACUGAGAUACGGCCCAGACUCCUACGGGAGGCAGCAGUGGGGAAUAUUGCACAAUGGGCGGAAGCCUGAUGCAGCAACGCCGCGUGCGGGAUGACGGCCUUCGGGUUGUAAACCGCUUUCGCCUGUGACGAAGCGUGAGUGACGGUAAUGGGUAAAGAAGCACCGGCUAACUACGUGCCAGCAGCCGCGGUGAUACGUAGGGUGCGAGCGUUGUCCGGAUUUAUUGGGCGUAAAGGGCUCGUAGGUGGUUGAUCGCGUCGGAAGUGUAAUCUUGGGGCUUAACCCUGAGCGUGCUUUCGAUACGGGUUGACUUGAGGAAGGUAGGGGAGAAGGAAUUUCCUGGGGAAGCGGGGGAAUGCGCAGAUAUCAGGAGGGACCCCCAGUGGCGAAGGCGGUUCUUUGGGCCCCACCCGACGCAGAGGAGCGAAAGCGUGGGGAGCGAACAGGCUUAGAUACCCUGGUAGUCCACGCUGUAAACGGUGGGUCCCAGGUGUGGGGUCCAUUCCACGGGUUCCGUGCCGUAGCUAACGCUUUAAGUACCCCGCCUGGGGAGUACGGCCGCAAGGCUAAAACUCAAAGGAAUUGACGGGGCCCCGCACAAGCGGCGGAGCAUGCGGAUUAAUUCGAUGCAACGCGUAGAACCUUACCUGGGUUUGACAUGGAUCGGGAGCGCUCAGAGAUGGGUGUGCCUCUUUUGGGGUCGGUUCACAGGUGGUGCAUGGCUGUCGUCAGCUCGUGUCGUGAGAUGUUGGGUUAAGUCCCGCAACGAGCGCAACCCUUGUUCACUGUUGCCAGCACGUUAUGGUGGGGACUCAGUGGAGACCGCCGGGGUCAACUCGGAGGAAGGUGGGGAUGACGUCAAGUCAUCAUGCCCCUUAUGUCCAGGGCUUCACGCAUGCUACAAUGGCUGGUACAGAGAGUGGCGAGCCUGUGAGGGUGAGCGAAUCUCGGAAAGCCGGUCUCAGUUCGGAUUGGGGUCUGCAACUCGACCUCAUGAAGUCGGAGUCGCUAGUAAUCGCAGAUCAGCAACGCUGCGGUGAAUACGUUCCCGGGGCU
rnacentral:rRNA from 1 species